AGUGAACGCUGGCGGCAGGCCUAAUACAUGCAAGUCGAACGGCAGCACAGCAGAGCUUGCUCUGUGGGUGGCGAGUGGCGGACGGGUGAGGAAUACAUGGGAAUCUGCCCAGUCGUGGGGGAUAACGUAUGGAAACGUACGCUAAUACCGCAUGCGCCCUACGGGGGAAAGCCGGGGACCGAAAGGCCUGGCGCGAUUGGAUGAGCCCAUGUUCGAUUAGCUAGUUGGCGGGGUAAAGGCCCACCAAGGCGACGAUCGAUAGCUGGUCUGAGAGGAUGAUCAGCCACACUGGAACUGAGACACGGUCCAGACUCCUACGGGAGGCAGCAGUAGGGAAUAUUGGACAAUGGGGGCAACCCUGAUCCAGCCAUGCCGCGUGAGUGAAGAAGGCCCUCGGGUUGUAAAGCUCUUUUGUCCGGAAAGAAAAGCAUUCGGUUAAUACCCGGGUGUUCUGACGGUACCGGAAGAAUAAGCACCGGCUAACUUCGUGCCAGC
rnacentral:rRNA from 1 species